ensembl:lncRNA
AGAAAUACACCUUCCAUUCCAUGGCCACAGUGAUCCACCUCUUCCCACCAGGCUUCACCUUCCAACAUCACCCAGCUAUAAACCCAUCAGCAGACUGAUCCAGGGAUGACUGCCCCAUACCCAUGACCCUGUCACCUCCCAAAAGCCCCACCUAUGAGCACAGGAGGCUUUGGAGGCACAUCUAGAUAUAAACCAUGACAUAGGACAUGACAAAAGUCUUGGGGGUGGACAUGAAGAGUGCACCAAGUCCUGAGGGCCUCUGGGAGACUUAGCGACUGAUGCUGGGGUUCUGGUGCCCAGGUCCCCACCCUCCAAUAUCCACAUAGCACCAUGUGGGGACAGCUACGUGGGGGCUGAGGGAGGGUGGGGUGUAGGAGCCCAAAAUGAGUGAUUGUCACGGGUGCGGUUGCAGAAUCACAGGUGUGGUGGGACCACACGGUUAGGGUGGGCGGGCACAUGGGUGUAGGGUGAGGCAAAGAUUAGCAGAGACGGGCCACAGAUGAGGGGAGGGUCACAGGUGGGCUGUGUGGAGGCCCCUGAGUGCACCUUGGCCUCUGCCCUUUGUUUACCGAGCUGUGCUGGAUGCCCCGACCCUAUUUCUCACUGAGGACUGAGGCUCAGUGAGUUGAAGCCGCCGGCACACUCCUACACCAGAUAAUUCCUGCCUGGGACUGGGGCCGGGUGCUGGCAGUUACUGCUCAAGGAAUCUCACAUUCAGGCUCCCUCAUGCCCCUCUCCUCAGGCUAGGGUCUGGCAGGGGUUGAGGAGGUGGGAGGGCGCCACCCACUGGUGGGAACUGGGCUGCUCUGCUCUCUCCUCUGAGCCACACCUGCUCCGGCAUUUCCAGGGCUCUUUUUAAGAGCCAGACCCUGACCUCAACUGCAGGAACAAGGUGUCACCUCAGGCAGGGGGUACAACUUGCCCUACGUAGUCACCCACCGCAAGAACCUGCCAGAUUCUAGUUGGCCCAGGUCUGAGUUCAUUUUGCCCUCACACUGGUGGCCACAGGAUGCCAUGCCCUCUUUUCCAGAAUGGGAAGUCAAGGCUCCGAUGGGACAAGGAGGCCUCUGCCUGCAUAACCACCACUCCUCUUGCGGGUUGGUCCUCCCUGGGUCUGUCCCCGGAUGUUCCUCGACUGCACACAGCACGAAGGCUGCCUCCAGUCUCCACACCUGUGCAUCUGGGCUGCCCGGCCUUCACCCACCCUGCCUAUCCCUGCCCUCUGUCCCCACAGCCCAGGUACAUGCCACCACCCAUCUGUGGGGUGCUGACGUCAGCCGGACACCAGAUGAACUGACGCUCGGCCUCUCUUCCCUGUCCUUCCCCUUCCUCCUCCCCAAGGCCAGCCCUGACCCUCGCAGGCUGAGGAGACCACCCCAGGCUGGGAGGAAGGGACCCCUGGGCGGGCCGGGAAGGGGUCCCUGCUGCAGGUGCCUGAUCGUCACUGGAAUCAAGGCCUGGGCAGGGGCUCUGCCAUGCCUACCUGACUGCUGCCCACCUGGUCUGCAGUCCGGGGCUUCUGAUGCCAGUCUAGGGGCAGCACUUGCAGAACAUUGGCACUAGAACCAAAGAUUUGCUCGGGAGAAAGAGGAGGAAAGCAGAGGUAAGGGGCCUGGUGCCUCAGGGGAUGCUGCAGAGGUCCUGGCCAAGCAGCCCCUGCAACCACCUCAGAGAAUCAUGACUCAGGGAGCAUCUUAGAAUGAAACUGAGGCCUAGGGAGGGGCAUACACUUGUCUGAGGUCACACAGUAAGUUAGGGACCAGCUGGGAUUCAUGUAUUCCUACCUGUGUUCAUGCACCAGGCCCUGCUGCUACUUGCUGUGGACUCCACCUCCUGAGUGCCCAGCUCCAUGGGGAGCAAAUGCAUUGAAUGAUAUUUGAGUUUCUGGGAUGAAGGGGAUUGGACAGCAGCAGCCCCACCAUACUUCCUGCCUUGUUUCUCCUGCCAUCCUGUCCCUGCCAGGUUCAUUAAACCAGCCUUUAGGUGCCAGCCCCAUCUACCUCUGGGCCUUUGCAUCUGCUGUUUCCUGUGCCUGGGAGCUCUCCCUGGAGCUCCUGCUGUGGCUUCCUUGGAGACCCCUUGUGCCCAACUGUCCAAUAUUUUUUUAACUCCUUGCUUUCUUGUUUAACCUAUUUCCUCAGGCAGCAUAGAAGCUCUGUGAGGGCAGGAUGCAGCAGGGCCUACACACAGCAGCGGUGGACAGCCCUGGAAAGUCUUAGGGUCAUUCCUGUCCUGCCACGUGGCCUCAAGCACUUGGGGCCUGGAAUCCUCAUUGUACAGAUAGAAAAUGAAGUUGAAGAAGCCUGGCAUUCUCCUCCCUCACCCAUGGUCAGUGGGUCCCAAGGACACCAGAGACAGCUCCUCCUCAGGUGUCCAGCUCCACCAUGAAGACAGGUACCUGAGGCUGGCCAGGCAACCACGCCCACAGGAGGGCAGAGGGGAAUUCAGAUCUGGGAGGGUCAUAUUCUCCCCAUGGAGACAGGAGGAUCAGCUCCAAAGCCUGUGCCUUGGAGUGCCCUGGCCUUUACCCUGUGGUAACCAGUAGGGUCCACGGACCCUCUCUCACCUCCAGGAACCCGUGCCUAUCUGAGUAGCCGAGGCUGGUGCUGAGUGUCCAAGGAGGCUGACACUUUCGGGUCGCAAGCUGGAUGCAGCCCUCUCUGACCACCAGGGCAGGACAACAUGAGGCCGUGGCCAUAGGACACCACCUCAGAGGAGAAGAGCUGGACUCCACAUUUCUGGAAAGUCAAGGGAAUUCAAGGAAGCUGACUCCAUCCUCUGCAUUCUGUGACUUGGCCAGAGCCAGUGAGCAUCCCCGGUCCCUCAGCCCAAGGGAUUGGUCAGCAUGGCCAUGGGACCCGAGAUGGGUCCUGUGACCACAGAAGGAGUGGACCACUCAUGAGCUCUGGCUGUCUUGGAUCCAGAAGGAAGAGGCUCCCAAUGAGGCCCAAACAGAGGCAGAAGGACAACUGUGUUGGUUACUUUUCUCUAGUUACUGAGACAAAAUAACUGACGCCCAAAGUUAGAGGGGAAGGGUUUUAUUUGACUUACAGUUCAUAGAGGUUUCAGUCCAUAAUUAGCUGGCUCCAAGGCAGGGUGCCAUGACAAGCCUUGAGGAGGAGAAACAGCAGUUCGUGGCAGCCAGAAGGUAUUCAAAGCAACAAGAGACCUUAAGAGGAUCUUUCUGCCCCUUUUGUCUUUUUCAGACUACUUAGCACUCACUCGCUUAACCCUAGUGCCCUUGGGCCUCAGCCCACCGUGAGUCAAUCACACACUCUAGAUCCGGCCACCUCCAAAAUAGCCCAUGACCACAUGAGGCUCGGGGGGACAUCCAGACACAAACCGUAACAACAUCUGACCUCUGAUUUCAUAUAAAGCAGUUACAUAAGCGGGUAAAUGUCAUGGGAGGUCAGAUCUCCUGAUAACUGUUGCCCGCAGUACCCAGCAGCCACCAUUUUGCGUGGACCAGCCUAUGCCCCCCAGGAUCUCCUGCUUUGGCCAUGUUGUCCCACCCAGAGCUCACAGCUUUCUGAGUGGGACAAAACCCUGCCUCUCUCCUGCAGGACCAGGCCUGCCCCCUAGGAAGCUUGGGCUGCUCUCCUGCUGUACAUGCUACAUGCAUUCCAAAAAGCAAACCUCCCUCCCUCCUUCCUUCCCUCCUUCCUUCCUUCCUUCCUUCCUUUCUUUCUUUCUCUCUCUCUCUUUCUUUCUUCCUUCCUUCCUUUCUUGCGUUUUUUCUUUCUUUCUUUCUGCUUUAUCUCCCCCCACCCAGUAAUGGGGAUUGAACCCAGAGCAUCACACAUGCUAGGCAAACACCCUACUACUAAUCUAAACCCAAGCCCCUUUUAAAAUUUUAUUUUGCAUCACCAGCCCUUUUUAAAAUUUUAUUUUGAGACAGUCUCAUUAAAUUCCCCAGGCUGGCUUCUAUCUUGGCCCCCAAAACCAACUCCUGUCCCCAAGUAAGGUAAUUUUGGGUCUCUUCAGAAAACACCCCACUUCCCAGAGUCAGAGAGUGGUCAUUGUGUUGGGUAGCGCCCUGACCCCAGUGUCCUCCCUGCAAGAUUCUGUCCUCUGCCCUUCAAACCCUCAGAGGAAGAGGCUCCCGUCCUCUCACUGCCCACAAAGGAGGACCUGCUGCUUGGCACGUGGCUUCUCCCAGGGGCAAACUCUGCUGCCUGGACUGGAAUUCAUUUGAGAGGUGACCCCAGAAACAGGGGAGUGGACAGUUUCUGAGGUAGAGAGGGUUGCAGUGUGUUGAAUGUGUUCCCCCAAAAUUCAUGUCUUCUUGGACCUGGAGAAUGUGGCUUCAUUUGGAAAUAAGGUCUUUGCAGAUGUAACCAGUUUAAUCAAGAUGAGGUUGCUGUUAUGAUUUGCAAAGUGAGGGAUUUAAAUUAGAUUUGGUGUAGUGAGGUAUAGCUCAGUCAAGGACACUCACUAGAAUGGCAAAAGACUAAGUUUAUUCCUCACAGAGCCCAGGGGGAAGACAGCAAGGUCAAUGGGAGGAAGAGGCAGGUGUUGGAACAUGGGUUCUCAGCCAGUGGGUAAGGAACAUGUGAGAGGAACCUGUGGACCUCAGCUGUUACUGGGGUGCAGGGUGUGACUGGGGUGGGUUUCCUGAAACAGGGCUGGGAUGGUUAAUUUGAAGGGCUAAGCACGGGAAUCCAGGGUUCCAUUGUCAAGUUCACCAGUGUUAAAGCAGAAGUGAUCAGAUGGUUCAGGGGCUGGGGGUCCUAUCUGUCUCAAAAUAUGCAGGUCAUAUGUGAUGAGCCAGGGACAGGACAUAAAGCUGGAGUCUAAGCAUUAAUGAAUGACAGGGACAACUGCCAUAUUAGAGUAGGAAAGGCCCUAAAUCCAAUGACUGGUGUUAAAAAGACACACAGACAUACGCACAAGGUGGGAGGCCAUGAGAUGACAGAGGCAAAGGGUGUAGAAAGAUAGUCACAAGCUUAGGAAAGCAAGGAUUUCUGAGGGCAGCCAGAAGCUAAGAAUAGGCAAGGAAGCCCCCCCGAGCUGUCAGAGGGACAUGGCCCUGCAGACAUCUCAGUUUCAGAUUUUUGGCCUCUAAAAUAAAUGAGGAUAUAUUCCUUUUUGUUUGUUUGUUUGUUUUUGGCACCAGGGAUCGAACUCAGGACCUUGUGCUUGCGAGGCAGGCGGCAGAAUGACUGAGCUAAAUGCCCAGCCCUGUAUCCUAUUUCUUAAGCCAUCAUUAAGUUUGUGGUCAUUUGUAUACAGCCCUAGUACACUAAUAUACAGAUUUUGAACCAGUGGGGUGUUGCCAUAACAAAUGCUUGCAAAUGUGGAUGUGGCUUUGGAGUUGGGUAAUAGAGAAUGGAAGAAUUUUGAGGGGUGUUAUGGUUUGGAUGUUUUUUAGCUUCCAUAGAUUUGAAUCUUGAAGGGUUAGUCCUCAGCGUGGUGGUGGGAGGUGGGACCUAAGAGUUGGAGCCUAGCAGGAGGUCCUUAGGUCAUUGGGGGUGUGCUCUUGGAAGGGACUGUUGGACUCCAUCCUCUCUGUUUUGAGACAUGAUCUCCUCCCAUGUGCACUUCCUCCAUCCACCACGAGGUCCUCAUUAGAGCUGAUCUGAUGCUGGUGUCAUGCCCUUGAACUCCAGAACAGCAAGCCAGGUAAACUUCUUUUCUCCACAAAGUUAGUCUGCUUCAGGUAUUUCAUUAUAGUUGCAAAAAAUAGGCUAGUACAAGAGACCCGAUAGAAAAAGCCUGGUGCCAUAGUUUGAACGUGCCCUGCCCAAAGCAGGUAUUGGAAACUGAAUCACCACUGCAGCAGUGUUCAGGCCUCACGAAUGAAUUGAUACUGUUCUCACAGAGGAUGGGAUGAGCCACUCUCUGUCUGUCUCUCCCUUUGUCCUCCUGCCACGGGAGGCCUUCCAUCACAUUUCAACACAAGAAAAAGGCCCUCAUCAGAUGCAGCACUUCAGUAUUCGACUUUUUAGACUUCAGAACCCUGAGAAAUUUUUUAUUGUUCAUAAAUUGUCCAGUCUGUGGUAUUCUGCUGCAGCAAAACAAAAUGAACUGGGACACUUAGAUUGCCUCCCAGUUAUUGUUGGUAGAAAUGUGGACAUUUACUUAAGGUGCUCCUUGUGAGGGUUAGGAAAGAAAAGAAAACCAUAGGGACAGCUCUUAGGAUCUUAGAGAGUACAUUUAUCACCACGAAGAGAAUUAAGUAGAAGUGUGAAUGCUACUAUGCUUCAGGGGGCCUUAGAGGAACACACUACUGGACACAGAAGAAAAAGUGAUCUUUGUUAUAGAGUGGUUAAAUUGUCUUCUAGUGUUGGGUGGAAAGUAGAACUCAUGAGCAAUGAACCUGGAUAUUUAGCCAGGGAGACUUCUAAACAAAGUGUAAAAGAUAUGGCCUGGUUACUCCUUGCUGCUUGUAGUAACAAUUGAGGGGAAAAAUAAAUUAAGGAAGGAAGUGUUAAGAAAAAAGGAACUGUCUCUUAGUGCUUUGGGAGGCCCUUGGCCUCCCCAAAGUUGCUAAAAUUAGGAAACUCACUGUUGAGAAAGUGUGGUCUGAAGACAACACCAACAGAGUUGCUGGCUAUUUUGUUGAAGAGAUUGGGGAUAUAACCCAUGGAUACAAUCAACCGUCUCAGAAUUGAAGCAUAGCAAUGGGGUUAUCCAGAAAUGACCUGUAGAGGAGCCUGUAUUCUGAUGGCAUGAAUCCCUGUGAAUUACACAGGACACCAACAAGCUUUCUGACAUCUUACCAGCAGAAACAUUGCCAGGCUGGACUGAAAGGCACAGAGGUAGAUGAGAUGAUGGAAGGAUGACUUGGAGGGCAGAGCCAGGAUGCAGAGGGCAGGGCCACUGCUGCUCCCAAAGCCUCAGGGAGCAGGGCCACCACCAGUCCCAGAAGACAAGAGCAUUAAGCCACAGAGGAUUAUUCUCAGGCCACAAACUUAAUGAAACUUGCCUACUGGAUCUCAGAUUUGCAUCUGACUAUUGGCCCUGAAUUCUUUAGCUUUCCAUUGCUAUAAUAAAAUAUUUGAGAUAAUUAACUUAUAGAGAGAAAAUGGUUAUUUCUGGAGAUUAUAAUCAAAAACUGGGUGAACCCAUUGCCUUGAGCCCCCAGUGGGUAUGUCCGACAGCAAUGGCAGAGCAAACUACUCACCUCAUGACCAGGAAGUAAAAGAAAGAAAGAGGAAGGGACUGGGGUCUCACAAUCCCCAAUGACCUACGGCCCUCCAACUAGGUCCCAUCUCCUAGGGGUUCCACCAUCUCCCAACGGUGUCACCCUGGAAACCAAGGUGCCAUACACAUUGCCUAUGGGAGGACACAUUUAUCUAAAACACAACAAACCCCUGUAUCCUCUUGGUUUUCUCUCUUGUGGAAUGAAUUAAGAUGGGCCCUAAAUCCAAUAACUGAUGUCCUAAUAAGAAGAGAAGACUCACUGAGAUGUGGUGGUAGAGACAGGAGUGGCUCAGGUCCAAGCUAAGGAAUGCCAAGGACUUUCCUGCAUUUCAAGACCUCAGUUUGUGGAACUUUAUUCCAACAGCCCACUGCUGUGGUCUGGAUAAGUGUCCCCCAAAGGCUGGUAUGUGGAAGGCUUGUUCGCCAAGCAGUGUUGCUUGUUGGAAGGUGGUGAAACCUUUAGGAAGUGGGGCCUGGUGGAAGGAAGUGAAGUUUUGGGAUGUGCCAUUGAAGGGGAUAUUGGGACCCUGGCCCUCUGCUUCCUGGCUACCACAAAGUCAUUACCAGUGUUCUG